rnacentral:rRNA from 1 species
UACGGAGGGUGCAAGCGUUAUCCGGAUUCACUGGGUUUAAAGGGUGCGUAGGUGGGUUGAUAAGUCAGUGGUGAAAUCCCCGAGCUUAACUUGGGAACUGCCAUUGAUACUAUUGAUCUUGAAUACCGUGGAGGUCAGCGGAAUAUGUCAUGUAGCGGUGAAAUGCUUAGAUAUGACAUAGAACACCAAUUGCGAAGGCGGCUGGCUACGCGAAUAUUGACACUGAUGCACGAAAGCGUGGGGAUCAAACAGG